rnacentral:snRNA from 1 species
GUGCUCGCUUUGGCAGCACAUAUACUAAAAUUGGAAUGAUACAGAGAAGAUUAGCAUGGCCCCUGUGCAAGGAUGACAUGCAAAUUCGUGAAGCAUUCCAUAUUUUU